UGGGGCAUGGUGUAAUGGUAACACACGAGCCUUUGACGCUCGUUUUCCAGGUUCGAGCCCUGGUGCCCCAGCCA
rnacentral:tRNA from 1 species